AGACAGGGUUUUGCCAUGUUGGCCAGGCUGGUCUCAAACUCCUGACCUCAAGUGAUCCGCCCACCUCGGCCUCCCAAAGUACUGGGAUUACAGGAGUGAGCCACCGCACCCUGCCACCCAUACACCCUGAUGGAAUACAAGUGAAUUCAAAUUCCAGGAGACAUGAAGAUGUGCCACAUUUAUCCCAACAAUCCACACAUUCUGUAUAAUCCAGUUACUGAGAAUGUGACUAUCAAGAGCGAAGGCGCUAUUCAGUUCAACUUCACGCUUGUUUGAUCCUCAAAAGAUUCAAACAAUGAAUCAAAGAAAGGAAAGGGAGCUAGCAUCAGCACCGAUGAUGCCAGUGAUCCAACUACUAAAGAGUUUAAAACUUUAAUUU